rnacentral:rRNA from 1 species
CGUGGGGAACCUGCCCCAUAGUCUGGGAUACCACUUGGAAACAGGUGCUAAUACCGGAUAAGAAAGCAGAUCGCAUGAUCAGCUUUUAAAAGGCGGCGUAAGCUGUCGCUAUGGGAUGGCCCCGCGGUGCAUUAGCUAGUUGGUAAGGUAAAGGCUUACCAAGGCGAUGAUGCAUAGCCGAGUUGAGAGACUGAUCGGACACAUUGGGACUGAGACACGGCCCAAACUCCUACGGGAGGCAGCAGGC